rnacentral:rRNA from 1 species
UACGGGGGGGGCAAGCGUUGUUCGGAAUUACUGGGCGUAAAGGGCUCGUAGGUGGCCAACUAAGUCAGACGUGAAAUCCCUCGGCUUAACCGGGGAACUGCGUCUGAUACUGGAUGGCUUGAGUUUGGGAGAGGGACGCGGAAUUCCAGGUGUAGCGGUGAAAUGCGUAGAUAUCUGGAGGAACACCGGUGGCGAAGGCGGCGUUCUGGACUGUUACUGACACUGAGGAACGAAAGCCAGGGGAGCAAACGGG